GCCAUGCAUGUCUCAGUACAAGCCAAAUUAAGGUGAAACCGCGAAAGGCUCAUUAAAUCAGUUAUGGUUCCUUAGAUCGUACCCACAUUUACUUGGAUAACUGUGGUAAUUCUAGAGCUAAUACAUGCAAACAGAGCUCUGACCGGAGACGGAAGGAGUGCUUUUAUUAGAUCAAAACCAAUCGGCGGCAAUAGCGUUUCGGCGUUAUUGUUCGUCGCAGUGCUUGGUGACUCUGAAUAACUUUUGGCUGAUCGCACGGUCUCGUACCGGCGACGCAUCUUUCAAAUGUCUGCCUUAUCAACUGUCGAUGGUAGGUUCUGCGCCUACCAUGGUUGUAACGGGUAACGGGGAAUCAGGGUUCGAUUCCGGAGAGGGAGCCUGAGAAACGGCUACCACAUCCAAGGAAGGCAGCAGGCGCGCAAAUUACCCACUCCCGGCACGGGGAGGUAGUGACGAAAAAUAACGAUACGGGACUCAUCCGAGGCCCCGUAAUCGGAAUGAGUACACUUUAAAUCCUUUCACAAGGACCCAUUGGAGGGCAAGUCUGGUGCCAGCAGCCGCGRUAAUUCCAGCUCCAAUAGCGUAUAUUAAAGUUGUUGCGGUUAAAAAGCUCGUAGUUGAAUUUGUGUUCCGAGCUGUCGGUUCACCGCCCGCGGUGUUAACUGGCAUGUCUCUCGGAACGUCCUGCCGGUGGAUGCGAGUACUUUGUUUUCUUCCCCAUUAUGCGUGUGCAUCCUUAGGGUUUGUUACUGUAUAGUGGUGGUGGGGUCUCAAAUGUUCUCCAUCCGACUCAAUAAUCCUGUCGCGGUGCUCUUAAUUGAGUGUCGAGGCGGGCCGGCACGUUUACUUUGAACAAAUUAGAGUGCUCAAAGCAGGCUAAAAUUUCGCCUGAAUACUGUGUGCAUGGAAUAAUGGAACAGGACCUCGGUUCUAUUUUGUUGGUUUUCGGAACCCCGAGGUAAUGAUUAAUAGGGACAGAUGGGGGCAUUCGUAUUGCGACGUUAGAGGUGAAAUUCUUGGAUCGUCGCAAGACGGACAGAAGCGAAAGCAUUUGCCAAAAAUGUUUUCAUUAAUCAAGAACGAAAGUCAGAGGUUCGAAGGCGAUCAGAUACCGCCCUAGUUCUGACCAUAAACGAUGCCAGCUAGCGAUCCGCCGACGUUCCUCCGAUGACUCGGCGGGCAGCUUGCGGGAAACCAAAGCUUUUGGGUUCCGGGGGAAGUAUGGUUGCAAAGCUGAAACUUAAAGGAAUUGACGGAAGGGCACCACCAGGAGUGGAGCCUGCGGCUUAAUUUGACUCAACACGGGAAAAUUUACUAGGCCCGGACACCGGAAGGAUUGACAGAUUGAGAGCUCUUUCUUGAUUCGGUGGGUGGUGGUGCAUGGUCGUUCUUAGUUGGUGGAGCGGUUUGUCUGGUUAAUUCCGUUAACGAGCGAGACUCUAGCCUACUAACUAGGCGUAAUUUUACCGGUAUCCUGAAGGCUCGUGGCUCCUGCAAACUGACAUAUCGUAGCUGUUGUUGUUUUAUUGUUUCGGCAGUAUGCAUCAGCACUGCCGUAUGUAAAGAGUAGGUGUUCACGGUUUUUACUACCGGCGUACAUAUAAUUCUUCUUAGAGGGACAGGCGGCUUUUAGCCGCACGAGAUUGAGCAAUAACAGGUCUGUGAUGCCCUUAGAUGUCCUGGGCCGCACGCGCGCUACACUGAAGGAAUCAACGUGUCUUCCCUGGCCGAAUGGCCCGGGUAACCCGCUGAACCUCCUUCGUGCUAGGGAUUGGGGCUUGCAAUUGUUCCCCAUGAACGAGGAAUUCCCAGUAAGCGCGAGUCAUAAGCUCGUGUUGAUUACGUCCCUGCCCUUUGUACACACCGCCCGUCGCUACUACCGAUUGAAUGAUUUAGUGAGGUCUUCGGACUGGUACGCGGGGGCGCUUCGACAUCUCCGAUGUCGCUGG
rnacentral:rRNA from 1 species